AAAAAUCCUAGGAGAGUGGCUAUACAGAAAGGCAUCAUUUAGAGCAGUAAUUCUCUGAAGUGCGAUAUGAUCAACGUCAAAACUUGGUAAGCCACAAGUAAACAAAUUUGUCUGCAAAACCGCUGUAAAAAAAAAUAAACAAACUCACA